rnacentral:lncRNA from 1 species
AUGGACUGCAAGCAAGCACGCCCUCUCCAGACCAGAGCCUGCCCGGGAGGAACCCCGGCAGCUAAGAGCAAGCAGCUGCAGCAGCUGCAACAGCUGCAACAGCUGCCGGGGCUGGCGCACCCCGGCCCGUCGAAGGGCGAGGGGACCGCAUGGCAGUCACCACCGCACUGCACAAAAGGCAGCCCCUAUCUAGGAGGCGCUGGGGCCUGGCGCGGUCCGCGGAGCUCGGGGCGCAGGAGCGCGGGGGCGGGGGGGUGGGGGGUGGGCGAGCUCCGCCUGCAGGGGGCCGGGGGCGCGCCCAGGUGCAGCGGGGAGGGAGGGGGGUGGUGGUGGGAGGAGGAGGGCUCCGCCACGCGCCUAGGAAGAAAGCCUGACUCAUGUCGUGUCGUGGCGGUGGCGGCGGGCUCCUGGGAACUGCAACUCGUGAUGCUGUUGCUGCGGAGAAAAGCCUCAUUACCCAUUCCGCGGGCGGGCAAGGGCGGGGGGGGGGCGGACACCCACCCCCUCCCCGGGGCGCGCACUCCCGGGCCCCGCCCCGCCCCCUCCCCCUCCCCUGCCGCGCGCCCGCCCGCGCCCGCUCCCGCGCCCGCGCACGCGCACCGGCCGCGAGCGAGAACAGAGCGGACACACCUAACCUGCGCGCGCGCGCCCCGCGCCCCGCCCCCACUCGGGCCGAGCCGCGCAGCCCGACCCGGAUCCGCUCCCCCGCCCGAAGCGCCCCUCCCCUCCCUUCCCCUCCCCUCCCCUCUCUCCGCGGCCUCGGCGCCUCCGCCAGCCUUCGGCAAUUUCCGGCGCUCGGCGAGGCCCGAGGCCCCGCCGCCGCCUCCUCCGCCGGACCCGGCUUUCUGUCUGCGGCGCCGGGGCGCAUGCGCAGACGCCAUCUUCCUCCGUCUCCUUCGCCUGCCCCCUCCCCCUCCCCCCUGCCGCCGCCGCCGCCGCCUCCUCCUCCUCUCGCCGGCGGUCGCCCCUCCUCCUCCUCGUCCUCCUCCUCCUCCUGCGCUCGGGCGCUGGUCCCUCCUCUCCCGCUGCCGCGAGAGACUGGGGGACGCGGCGGAGCCGGAGGAGAGCACUAGUAACAACCACCACGGCCCCCUCCCCGCCCGCCCGCCCUCCGCACCCACCCACUCGCCGACACCGGCCAACCCCACCUCCCGUUCCUUUGAACGGCGUCGGCUGCAGUCGCUUGCACCAGCCCGUCUGGCCCCCAGCGCCGCCGAGGAAGGAGCCGCCCGCGAGGACGAGGACGAGGACGGGGACGAGGACGAGGAGCCGAGCGGCUCGCAGCCCGCCGCCGCCCCCCGGGGAGGCCCGGGCGCCGGCCCCUUCCUCCCCGAGGACGCGUGCCGAGCCGAGGCGCCUGCCCCGAGGGAGGAAAAUGCUCGGGCUCCAUGGCUGCCAGUGAUGGAGCGGUCCCUGCGCUCCCGCCGCCGCCGCCGCCGCGCCCCGGCCGUGCUCCGCGAGGACCCGGCGUCCCUGCGCGCCCGCCCGCGCCCCGUUGCUGGGCUCACCGUACCGGGCGCCCCGCCGCCCCGCUCCGAGCCUCGCCGCCCCGGCCCCGGCCGCGGCCAGCGUCUGCUCACGGAACAGCCGCCGCGAGCCCAGGGGGUUUGA